rnacentral:pre_miRNA from 1 species
GACUAGAUAGAAAGCUACUGCAGAGUUCAGAGGAACAUGAAUACAGCCCAGGAAGUCGGGCUGUAUUCAUGUUCCUCUGAACUUCUGCAGUAGCUUUUUAUCUAGUCAC